AUGUGCACGAGAAGAUGUGAUCAAGAUGAAGGUGCCAAGUACAUUGUAGAGAUGUAUGGGUACUUCUUGACACGUGCUGAGCUUUGCUGCCUACAAGACAGGAAAUGGAUGAACGACAGGUUCAUGUCUAUGGUGGCGAGAACCUUGGUGGGAGAUGAAAAAGA